ACAAUGGCAAGUCGAGCGGUAACAGAGAUAGCUUGCUAUCUGCUGACGAGCGGCGGACGGGUGAGUAAUGCUUGGGAAUAUGCCUUAUGGUGGGGGACAACAGUUGGAAACGACUGCUAAUACCGCAUAACGUCUACGGACCAAAGGGGGGGAUGCUUCGGCACCUCCCGCCAUUUGAUUAGCCCAAGUGAGAUUAGCUAGUAGGUGAGGUAAGAGCUCACCUAGGCGACGAUCUCUAGCUGGUUUGAGAGGAUGAUCAGCCACACUGGGACUGAGACACGGCCCAGACUCCUACGGGAGGCAGCAGUGGGGAAUAUUGCACAAUGGGCGAAAGCCUGAUGCAGCCAUGCCGCGUGUGUGAAGAAGGCCUUCGGGUUGUAAAGCACUUUCAGCGAGGAGGAAAGGUUAGUGGUUAAUAGCCACUAGCUGUGACGUUACUCGCAGAAGAAGCACCGGCUAACUUCGUGCCAGCAGCCGCGGUAAC
rnacentral:rRNA from 1 species